rnacentral:sRNA from 1 species
AAGGGACCUAGCGUAGUUCGGAAUUACUGGGCUUAAAGAGUUCGUAGGUGGUUGAAAAAGUUGGUGGUGAAAUCCCAGAGCUUAACUCUGGAACUGCCAUCAAAACUUUUCAGCUAGAGUAUGAUAGAGGAAAGCAGAAUUUCUAGUGUAGAGGUGAAAUUCGUAGAUAUUAGAAAGAAUACCAAUUGCGAAGGCAGCUUUCUGGAUCAUUACUGACACUGAUGAACGAAAGCAUGGGUAGCGAAGAGGAUUAGAUACCCUCGUAGUCCAUGCCGUAAACGAUGUGUGUUAGACGUUGGAAAUUUAUUUUCAGUGUCGCAGGGAAACCGAUAAACACACCGCCUGGGGAGUACGACCGCAAGGUUAAAACUCAAAUGAAUUGACGGGGACCCGCACAAGUAGUGGAGCAUGUGGUUUAAUUCGAAGAUACGCGCAGAACCUUACCAACACUUGACAUGUUCGUCGCGACUCUAAGAGAUUAGAGUUUUCGGUUCGGCCGGACGAAACACAGGUGCUGCAUGGCUGUCGUCAGCUCGUGUCGUGAGAUGUUGGGUUAAGUCCCGCAACGAGCGCAACCCUCACUUUUAGUUGCCAUCAUUAAGUUGGGCACUCUGAAAGAACUGCCAGUGAUAAGCUGGAGGAAGGUGGGGAUGACGUCAAGUCCUCAUGGCCCUUAUGUGUUGGGCUACACACGUGCUACAAUGGCAACUACAACAGGAAGCAAAACGGCAACGUUAAGCAAAUCCCGAAAAGAUGCCUCAGUUCGGAUUGCACUCUGCAACUCGAGUGCAUGAAGCUGGAAUUACUAGUAAUCGUGGAUCAGCGUGCCACGGUGAAUGCGUUCCCGGGUCUUGUACACACCGCCCGUCACACCAUGGGAGUUGGUUCUACCUUAAGGCAAGGUUUCAAACCCUUGACCACGGUAUAGUCAGCGACUGGGGUGAAGUCGUAACAAGGUAGCCGUAGGGGAACCUGCGGCUGGAUUACCUCCUUUCUAAGGAUGAGUGAAAGAGGAAAAUUUCACUCUAAAUAAUAUACAUCGGUAAUGUUGACCGUCCUCAUUUCUCUUCUUAAAGUAAUGUUUCCUUCUUGUAGGGCCGGUAGCUCAGUUGGUUAGAGCACACCCUUGAUAAGGGUGGGGUCGAAAGUUCGAGUCUUUCUCGGCCCACCAAAAACCUAAAUGGGGGAUUAGCUCAUCUGGGAGAGCGCCUGAUUUGCAUUCAGGAGGUAGCAGGUUCGAUCCCUGUAUCCUCCACCAGGAAACAUUUAGUUAUUAAAACUGUAAAUAAAAAUAAUUUAUAUCAAUAUCUAUAUCCGAACAUUAAAAGUUAUUAUUUAAUGUUCAAAAUAAAAAUUUGAUCACAACAUAGAUAAAUUUUCUGUUAAAAGAAUUCUUUUCUGUGCAUAAAUCAAGCGUUUAAGGGCGUGUGGUGGAUGCCUUGGCACUGAAAGCCGAUGAAGGACGUGAUAUACUGCGAUAAGUUUCGGGGAGCUGUAUGUAAGCUUUGAUCCGAAAAUUU